rnacentral:rRNA from 1 species
AGCGAACGCUGGCGGCAGGCCUAACACAUGCAAGUCGAACGAACCUUUCGGGGUUAGUGGCGGACGGGUGAGUAACACGUGGGAACGUGCCUUUAGGUUCGGAAUAACUCAGGGAAACUUGUGCUAAUACCGAAUGUGCCCUUCGGGGGAAAGAUUAAUCGCCUUUAGAGCGGCCCGCGUCUGAUUAGCUAGUUGGUUGAGGUAAUGGCUCACCAAGGCGACGAUCAGUAGCUGGUCUGAGAGGAUGAGCCGCCACAUUGGGACUGAGACACGGCCCAGACUCCUGCGGGAGGCAGCAGUGGGGAAUCUUGCGCAAUGGGCGAAAGCCUGACGCAGCCAUGCCGCGUGAAUGAUGAAGGUCUUAGGAUUGUAAAAUUCUUUCACCGGGGACGAUAAUGACGGUACCCGGAGAAGAAGCCCCGGCUAACUUCGUG